UGGACUAAUAGCAACAUGCCAUGGCUGUUCUGCUGGCUUUAACUUACUUUCUGUUUUUCCUAUCUCGUGGAUGAGCACGAUAAAGCCAGCAUGAGCGAGUCUGAAGAUAAGGGGAGCAGACAGGCCUAGAGGAGGGCUGCAAGGCCGACCCAGCCCCGAAGCUCAGCUGUCCGGGCAGGGGGCUUGGACGCCGCGCUAGAGAGACGGGAAGAGCUCACCAAACCCACAUAAAAUAAAAAAAAUAAAAUAAA